AGUGGGGGAUAACGUAGCGAAAGUUACGCUAAUACCGCAUAUGCCCUGAGGGGGAAAGGAGGGGAUCGUAAGACCUUUCGCUUUCGGAGUGGCCGAUAUCAGAUUAGCUAGUUGGUGGGGUAAAGGCCUACCAAGGCGACGAUCUGUAGCUGGUCUGAGAGGACGACCAGCCACACUGGGACUGAGACACGGCCCAGACUCCUACGGGAGGCAGCAGUGGGGAAUUUUGGACAAUGGGGGCAACCCUGAUCCAGCCAUGCCGCGUGAGUGAAGAAGGCCUUCGGGUUGUAAAGCUCUUUCGGACGGAAAGAAAUCCUAUCCGCUAAUACCGGGUGGGGAUGACGGUACCGUAAGAAGAAGCACCGGCUAACUACGUGCCAGCAGCCGCGGUAAUACGUAGGGUGCGAGCGUUAAUCGGAAUUACUGGGCGUAAAGCGUGCGCAGGCGGUUUUGUAAGACAGACGUGAAAUCCCCGGGCUUAACCUGGGAACUGCGUUUGUGACUGCAAGGCUAGAGUACGGCAGAGGGGGGUAGAAUUCCA
rnacentral:rRNA from 1 species